UUAAUCAAUACAGCGCAUACUAGCACUACAAAAUAAUAACUUAUAUGUGUCCAGAGUGAGGAAUGGGGGCGGUAGGCAAGAAAUAAAUAAGAUUCGAGUGCUUCUGCGUAUUUCAAGUGUGAUUAUCCUUAAAUACACACGAAUUUUGAUUAAACAUUGAAGAGUGAAUAAUAAAUUCUGAAAUCAUCAUAUUAAAUUAAGAAACUUGAAUGAAUCUGUUUUCCGAUAUCUAUUUAUCCUGUCGAACUAUGGAUUAUGUUCCGAUGUCAGAAAAACAAUGCCGUUGAGUCCUCAUUUAUGUUCAGUUUCAUGUCUAUGGCCUUAAUCAUCGUACCUACCUGCUAAACUGCUACCGAAACAUGGCUGCAAGCCGAACAGAAGAAUAAAAUUAACAUCAUUAUUA